rnacentral:rRNA from 1 species
UGGGGAAUAUUGCACAAUGGGCGCAAGCCCGAUGCAGCCAUGCCGCGUGUGUGAAGAAGGCCUUCGGGUUGUAAAGCACUUUCAGCGGGGAGGAAGGCGAUAAGGUUAAUAACCUUGUCGACUGACGUUACCCGCAGAAGAAGCACCGGCUAACUCCGUGCCAGCAGCCGCGGUAAUACGGAGGGCGCAAGCGUUAAUCGGAAUUACUGGGCGUGAAGCGCACGCAGGCGGUCUGUCAAGUCGGAUGUGAAAUCCCCGGGCUCAACCUGGGAACUGCAUUCGAAACUGGCAUGCUAGUGUCUUGUAGAGGGGGGUAGAAUUCCGCGUGUAGCGGUGAAAUGCGUCGAAAUCUGGAGGGAUACCGGUGGCGAAGGCGGCCCGCUGGACAAAGACUGACGCUCAGGUGCGAAAGCGUGGGGAGCAAACAGG